GAAAAUCUGCAGGGGAAACAAGUAAAUCAGAACAAAGCUGAAAUGCCUGAACCAAAUAGGAAAUGGAGAUUUCACUGAAGAAAUGCACACUCGAACUCAACUGGUGAAGAAAAGAUCUUCGACGCAGAAGUAACAAAAGUAUAUUAUCCACUAUCGGUCACUAGGCAAGGAGAUAACAUAAUCUGACAGAGGGGACAUCCGUUACCGGUUAGGGUAAAC
rnacentral:lncRNA from 1 species